rnacentral:sRNA from 1 species
GCUAACCCCGAACAUAAACGAGUUGUCUGGAAUUGGAGAUAGCAUUGCUUCAGCGCCAUCAUCCUAUCGGAAACUCCGUAAAGCUAAAUCAAUGUUCUCAACCCGGAAGCGUGCGAUGAAGUCUUCAGAUUCGUCCUAUUCACCGUUUAGAUCCUCUACUUGCUCAGAUAACCCCGAAAUGGGCCAUCUUUCCCGAGCUACUCUACGGCGAUCGAAGUCUUUCUUUGCCGCGGAAAUAACCCAGAAGCCAGAUGGCGAAAAGCGUACAGAUAGCCAGAACGCAGCAAUCCAGUUAGCCCGUGAGCAAUAUCUACAGGAGUUACAGCAGUCAAAGCGAAAUGAUGGGUCGGCAUCUAUUCUUGGUGGGAGAGGACGGCACCAAUCAAGGCCCUUUAGAAAAUCCCUUAGAUCUUCUAGCGGAUGGGAUGCUGGAAAUGAAAUUCCAGUCGCUACUCAGCCUAUAAAACCCAGUGUAAUUUACCCAAGUAAGACCCUUCGAAACUCAAAGUCAAGGAUCUUUUCAUUGUCGAUCAAGAAUGGCCUAAAGAGGAUAUUCGGACGCUCGAUGGCACAAGAAGAAAGAUAUGCACCCACGGUGCAGCGCAAGCAUGUAUUGGGAUUUAGUGAUUAUAUCAGUUCAGAAUCUGGAGGACCGGCGAGCAUUGGCAAUCGGCCAGCUAGUAUCAGGACGAUGAAGAGCUCGGAC